WUAAGCAUAUCACUAAGCGGAGGAGAAGAAACUAACCMGGAUGCCCCUAGUAAUGGCGAAUGAAGCGGGCAUAGCUCACGCCGCCAAUYUGAAGGCCUUAUUCUUAUACAGAAGCCUUCCGAAUUGUAGUCUAGAAAGGCGCCAUCGGCCGCGUCCGUCGCUCAAAUCCCUUGGAACGGGGUAUCGGAGAAGGUGAGAAUCCUGUGCCGUGGCGGAUAGCGGUCGCACGAUGCGUCCUUGUCGAGUCGGGUUGCUUGGGAUUGCAGCUUGAAGUGGGUGGUAAAUUCCAUCUAAAGCUAAAUACUGGCGAGAGACCGAUAGCGAACAAGUACCGUGAGGGAAAGAUGCAAAGAACUUUGAAAAGAGAGUUAAAGAGUGCUUGAAAUCGGCAAGAGGAAACCCGUUUGCGCCCGGCCUCGCGUCGUCGACUCAGCCGUUCUUUUGAGCGGUGCACUUUGUCGUCGCGGGUCAGCGUUCGCUCUUUCGGCGUGACACGGCGUACCGCAGGGCCUUUUGGCGAUCGGUUCGCACUCUCGCGGGAGGGGCGUUGGCUGACGGAACGGGCGCAACCGACCCGUCUUGAA
rnacentral:rRNA from 1 species